UGCACGAGUAUCACACAAUAUGCGUAUGAUGCACGAAUAUCACACGAAAUUUACAUUUGAUGCGCAAAAUGAACGUGUGAUGCACAAUUGCUAAUGCCUUUGUCAGUAUGAAAAUACAAACUAGCCUAUUUAUAGCUAGAGCUGAUACAUGUAAACAUUUUGGAAUGAUUUUGUUCAAACCUCAUGAAAAUCAUCACAAUCACUGCCAAUAGGAUGAUGAUCAUGACCGGCAUGCCUUUGAGUUUAUCUUCGGCUUCUCCUUCUGCCGCGACCAGACGUACCAAUGGUAAUGUCGUAAGCAACUAGAACAAAAGAAGAGGAAGUUAGUAAUGCAAUUAUGAAGAUUACAUACAUUACAAAUUCAUAAACACUAUUUACAAGUAUUAUUUGCACGCAGUUCGUCAUAGGUGGAGCUACAACCAAUCAAGUGAAAACAUUUCUUAACUUAUGUCAACAAAGUUAUGCUAUUGUUAUUUUAGAAUGGAACACAAAUGUACAUUAUGCCAACGAAGCUUUUGAAGAUCCAUGGACAUAUGACGAACGUGAAAAUAUUUCAUAACAAAUAGAUGAAUCAAAUGAUUGUGUCUAUUUACUUGUGCAUUUUCUGGCUAUGUCUGUCGAGGAGUUAUGAACAUAUCAAAGUCAAUUUUGAUUAUGAAAAUCUUCGAUUAAGAUGCAGAGCAUUACUUUGGGACUAUGGAAAGAGGAAAAUUGAUACGUAUUGUUUGUUAAUGAAUGUGAAAUCAAGUACGAAAGGUUGUCAGUUACGCCGGAAGGGGUGUGAUUUAAAAGGAAUUUCUACCUUGUAGGUUUAAUAUUUCUUUUACAUUUAUUAAUUAAAUUAGAAGUAGUUGUUAGGGUUUGUUAAGGUAAGAAGAUUAUUUUUGAUAUUUUUUUUCUCUGUCUAUAAAUAUUUACCGAAAAUAAAAAUAAACAAAAUGAAAAUUUCCUUAAUAUUCUUGCUUUCGUUUUCCAAUACAUCCUUUGAAAUGAAAGAACACCAUGUUCAAAACCUUACUUGUAGGCAACAAUAGAUACUUAUUAUACAAUACUGAAAGCCACUAUAAUUCCGACAACUCAUUUUUUUACACAUCAUGUAAAUAUAUAUUAGUGGUGAUAAAUAUGGAAACACGGUAAAACUCUAACUUCUUCAUUCUCAUCAAACUUGGACAAACAUAUAUGACAUUCUCUAACGCAACAUUAUACUGCAUGAUCGGAAAUGACCGAACCACGGUCUAAGCUCUAAUAGCGAUGAAGCAGCGGUACAAGUAUUAUAUCACAUGAUGAUGAAAAUCAUCACAAUCACUGCCAAUAGGAUAAUGAUCACGACCGGGGAAGCCUUUAUAUUUAUCUACAUCUUCUCAAGACGUACAGCGGUACAAGUAUCUUUUUUUUUGCUAAUUAUUCUGUGUUGACGAAUAUUGGUCGGGGGGAUUCAGGUUUGGGGUGGGGACCAACAACAAGAUGGGGAUUAAGAUUUAGAAUUAGUCAUAAUAUUUAUUAAUUACAAGUGUAAAUAAUCCAUUUUCCUGUAUCAAAAUUCCCUCAUCAACAAAUAAUGAACUUGAUUAUAAGCUUUGAUGCAUUUACAACAAGGGAAAAAAAAAAA